rnacentral:rRNA from 1 species
UACGUAGGGGGCUAGCGUUGUCCGGAUUUAUUGGGCGUAAAGAGCGUGUAGGCGGCCCGGUCAGUCGGUUGUGAAAGUCAGGGGCUCAACCCUUGAAUGCCGACCGAUACUGCCGGGCUAGAGUCCGGAAGAGGCGAGUGGAAUUCCUGGUGUAGCGGUGAAAUGCGCAGAUAUCAGGAGGAACACCAACGGCGAAGGCAGCUCGCUGGGACGGUACUGACGCUGAGACGCGAAAGCGUGGGGAGCAAACAGG